UGCUUAAUUUUUUGCUAAAAAAAAGUUUUCUUGACAAGUGAGAUUCAGCCUUUUAAAGACCAAUCUGAGUGUUAAAAGCCCUUUUAAAGCCCUUUCGCCAAGUUUUAUGAGUCCCUGACAUCAUUUAUAAAUGAAGAUUGUGUAGAAUUGUAAUCUAUUUUGAUCAAUGCAUUCAUAUAAAAGCGCAGACUCGUUCAUUUGGCUUUUAUGUAGCACCGUUGAAUCUAUGAAGUUCAAGCUUGCCAGAAAUUAUUCAAGCCUCGUGUAACUGACAUACCAAAACUCUGGACAGCAUCUCUUCUGUGCCAUUCUGUUGAAGUACUGUACUUGAACCUGUUUUUGUUUUAACUGCUCUUCCUGGACCGGGAGAGCUCGCAUUGCUUCUUAAAGAUGUUGUAGGUUUGUUGCAAAACCAGUGGUCAUGGAAAUCACUUUUUUUAUGUUCUUACGGAUGAAAUAAAUGGAUUUCAGUAGGCCAGAGGAGACAUUUUAGUUAAAUGUAUUGUAUCUAAAGUUUUAGGAGAGAAAUGAUCUGAUAUUAAUGCAUAUGCAGUAUGAAGAAGUGUGAAACCACUGCCUGACAUGUUUAUAACUUUAAUACAUUGAGAAUAAAACAGACUAUUUUGAUAUUUGA